rnacentral:rRNA from 1 species
AACGUAGGAGACAAACGUUAUCCGGAGUUACUGGGCGUAAAGGGCGUGUAGGUGGUAGAGUAAGUCUGGCGUGAAAUUUUUCGGCUUAACCGGGAAAGGUCGUCGGAUACUGCUUAACUAGAGGACGGUAGAGGCGUGUGGAAUUCCGGGUGUAGUGGUGAAAUGCGUAGAGAUCCGGAGGAACACCAGUGGCGAAGGCGACACGCUGGGCCGUACCUGACGCUGAGGAGCGAAAGCGUGGGGAGCGAACAGG